rnacentral:rRNA from 1 species
AGUGAACGCUGGCGGUAGGCCUAACACAUGCAAGUCGAACGGCAGCACAGUAAGAGCUUGCUCUUAUGGGUGGCGAGUGGCGGACGGGUGAGGAAUACAUCGGAAUCUACUUUUUCGUGGGGGAUAACGUAGGGAAACUUACGCUAAUACCGCAUACGACCUACGGGUGAAAGCAGGGGAUCUUCGGACCUUGCGCGAUUGAAUGAGCCGAUGUCGGAUUAGCUAGUUGGCGGGGUAAAGGCCCACCAAGGCGACGAUCCGUAGCUGGUCUGAGAGGAUGAUCAGCCACACUGGAAGUGAGCCACGGUCCAGACUCCUACGGGAGGCAGCAGUGGGGAAUAUUGGACAAUGGGCGCAAGCCUGAUCCAGCCAUACCGCGUGGGUGAAGAAGGCCUUCGGGUUGUAAAGCCCUUUUGUUGGGAAAGAAAAGCAGCAGGUUAAUACCCCGCUGUUCUGACGGUACCCAAAGAAUAAGCACCGGCUAACUUCGUG